rnacentral:rRNA from 2 species
GCGAGGCUGAAAAGCGUAGUCGAUGGAAAACAGGUUAAUAUUCCUGUACUUCUGGUUAUUGCGAUGGAGGGACGGAGAAGGCUAGGCCAGCUUGGCGUUGGUUGUCCAAGUUUAAGGUGGUAGGCUGGAAUCUUAGGUAAAUCCGGGAUUCUAAGGCCGAGAGCUGAUGACGAGUGUUCUUUUAGAACACGAAGUGGUUGAUGCCAUGCUUCCAAGAAAAGCUUCUAAGCUUCAGGUAACCAGGAACCGUACCCCAAACCGACACAGGUGGUUGGGUA